rnacentral:rRNA from 1 species
GACGUAGGAGGCGAGCGUUGUCCGGAUUCAUUGGGCGUAAAGAGCACGCAGGCGGUUUGGCAAGUCGGAUGUGAAAACCCGAAGCUCAACUUCCGGGCCUGCAUCCGAAACUGCCCGACUAGAGGUAGGUAGGGGAGAUCGGAAUUCCUGGUGUAGCGGUGAAAUGCGCAGAUAUCAGGAGGAACACCGGUGGCGAAGGCGGAUCUCUGGGCCUUACCUGACGCUCAGGUGCGAAAGCUAGGGGAGCGAACAGG